AACGAACGCUGGCGGCAUGCCUAACACAUGCAAGUCGAACGAGACCUUCGGGUCUAGUGGCGCACGGGUGCGUAACGCGUGGGAACCUGCCCUUAGGUUCGGAAUAACUCCCCGAAAGGGGUGCUAACACCGGAUAGUGUCUUCGGACCAAAGAUUUAUCGCCUUUGGAUGGGCCGGAGUUGGAUUAGCUAGUUGGUAGGGUAAAAGCCUAACAAGGCGACGAGUCAUAUCUGGUCUGAGAGGAUGAUCAGCCACACUGGGACUGAGACACGGCCCAGACUCCUACGGGAGGCAGCAGUGGGGAAUAUUGAACAAUGGGCGAAAGCCUGAUCCAGCAAUGCCGCGUGAAUGAUGAAGGCCUGAGGGUUGUAAAGCUCUAUUACCCGGGAUGAUAAUGACAGUACCGGGAGAAUAAGCUCCGGCUAACUCCGUG
rnacentral:rRNA from 1 species